AUGUGUAUUCCUAAAAGGGAUGGAGGUAUGGGAUUUCGAGAUCUACAUUUUAAUUUGGCAAUGCUUGCAAAACAGUCUUGGAGACUCAUCUCAAAUUCUGAUUCCCUUUGUGCUAAAGUUUUGAAAGCAAAGUAUUUUCCUGACUACUCCUUAAUCAGAGCUGGUCCAAAGAAGGGGUCCUCCUUUACAUGGCAGAGUAUUGUGGUAGGUUUGAACACCUUCCGAAGAGGCCACAUUUGGCGGGUUGGCACUGGUGAAAUGAUUAAUAUCUGGGAUGAUCAUUGGGUCCCGGGUAGCCCGUCUCAUAUGAUCCAAACGCCAAGGGGAAAUAUCUUAUUGCAAACUGUAAAUGAGCUUAUUGACCCGAAUACUAGAAGUUGGGAUGAGGUUCUUUUG
rnacentral:rRNA from 1 species